AUUGAACGCUGGCGGCAGGCCUAACACGUGCAAGUCGAACGGUAACAGGAAACAGCUUGCUGUUUCGCUGACGAGUGGCGGACGGGUGAGUAAUGUCUGGGAAACUGCCUGAUGGAGGGGGAUAACUACUGGAAACGGUAGCUAAUACCGCAUAACGUCGCAAGACCAAAGAGGGGGACCUUCGGGCCUCUUGCCAUCGGAUGUGCCCAGAUGGGAUUAGCUAGUAGGUGGGGUAACGGCUCACCUAGGCGACGAUCCCUAGCUGGUCUGAGAGGAUGACCAGCCACACUGGAACUGAGACACGGUCCAGACUCCUACGGGAGGCAGCAGUGGGGAAUAUUGCACAAUGGGCGCAAGCCUGAUGCAGCCAUGCCGCGUGUAUGAAGAAGGCCUUCGGGCUGUAAAGUACUUUCAGCGGGGAGGAAGGGAGUAAAGUUAAUACCUUUACUCAUUGACGUUACCCGCAGAAGAAGCACCGGCUAACUCCGUG
rnacentral:rRNA from 1 species